CUACGGGAUGCUGCAGUGGGGAAUAUUGGACAAUGGGGGAAACCCUGAUCCAGCAAUGCCGCGUGUGUGAAGAAGGCCUGCGGGUUGUAAAGCACUUUCGGUUGGGAGGACUGCUUCUAGCACUAAUAUUGUUGGAAGUUGACGUUACCUUCAGAAGAAGCACCGGCUAACUCCGUGCCACCAGGCCGCGGUAAUACGGAGGGUGCAAGCGUUAAUCGGAAUUACUGGGCGUAAAGCGCGCGUAGGCGGCUAGAUCAGUAGGGUGUGAAAGCCCGGGGCUUAACCUGGGAACUGCAUCCGAUACUGUCUAGCUUGAGUACAGGAGAGGGGAGUGGAAUUCCACAUGUAGCGGUGAAAUGCGUAGAUAUGUGGAGGAACACCAAUGGCGAAGGCAGCUCUCUGGCCUGAUACUGACGCUGAGGUGCGAAAGCGUGGGGAGCAAACAGGAUUAGAUACCCCCGUAGUC
rnacentral:rRNA from 1 species